rfam:Oryza rufipogon genomic scaffold, chr08
CUACAGUUUUACACUAUUCAAUUCAUAUCCAACAUUUAACUAUUCGUUUUAUUUAAAAAAAAAUUAUGAUUAAUAUUUUUUAUUAGAUAAAAAAGCAUGAAUAAUAUUUUAUGUGUGACUGAUUUUUUUUAAUUUUAUCAUACUUUUUUUAAAUAAGACGGAUAGUGAAACGUUGGACACAGAUACUCACGACUGCACUUAUU